rnacentral:tRNA from 1 species
AUUUAUAUAGUAUAAUUUAAAUAUAUUUAACUUCCAAUUAAAAGUUCUAUAAAAUAGUAUAAAUA